CAAAUUUCUGUAGUUUUCACAGCAUUAUUACUGUAAAAUGGGCAAAUGCUUACUGUAAAACCUGUAUACAGCAUGUUACUGUAGAUCUGCAAAGCAUCACGGUAAAUUUUCAAGGGCGGGAAAAUUCUACAGUAAAAAUAUUUUUUUCUGUGAAUCACAAUACAGCAAUUUCUAGAGGAUUUUUUUUUUUCUAGCCAUGGAAAGCUGAAAAUCUAGAUUCCUCACUUUCAUUGGAAUUCUAACUUCAGAAAGCCGGAGUUUUCUCUGCCCAGCUAACGUCAACUGUCUGUCACCGCCGACACCGUGUGCGUGCGCGUGAAGCAGUGAAGUCCAGACUCGACAGAAAACGCAGUUAGAGCAGACGUUGAAGGCCCAGAUUUCCCUGCCAAGCACUCUAAGACUCAUCAUGCUCGGAGAGUCCAUUCUGGGGGCAAAUAGGUGGAUGCUUUCCAUCGAGGGCAGAGUUCUCCAACCAAGUGACCGUUCCAAAUUCACUUCUGCUCUGGCUGUGCUUUUUGCAUCAUACUAUAUAUUUAACAUGGAAUAUCCUGCGGAGGCAGCCACUACAUUAGAAUUUAUCCAGAGGGUAGAAGACUCCAGCCCAGGAAAUUGACUAAUUCAGGCCCGUUUCUGAAGAAAAAUACAGUUCUGGGAGAAAAACAACAUUCAGGGACCAAAUUCUACUGUUUGAAAUCCUGCUGUUUCUAAAUAAUUUAAUUUGCCUUUUAUACAUUUUAAUUGUAACCGAACAUAUUAAUGCAUUUGAACAGGAUUGAUUUGUAUGUUCAGAAAAGUGUUGUUGAAUACAAAACGAAAUGAAAUGUUAACAGAAAAAUGUUGACCUAUUGAAGAUUUUUUUUUCGCUAUGCUAUUUUUAUUUUAUGAAUUUAGAAAUUAAAAGCGUGAAAAGUUAUCAAUAAAUGGAAUUUUUUGUGGCAAAAACAGUGUCUUCAUUUUACAGUACACAAAAUUAAUGCUGUAAUCCUUAUUACAGUAGUAAAAUAUAUGAGUUGAUGAAACAGUACUGUGAUUAUUACUGUAAAAAAUUUACAGUA